GCAAUGUUUUCAUUUUGUAUCAACAACUUUUCAUUGUUUUUUAUUCUUUCCACGACGAACUUUUCGAAAAACAUGUGACAGGUGUUACUGUCAAGAGAAAUGCAAAUACAAAACAGCUAAGCAAAUAAAUGAAAAAAAAAAAAUGUUGAUUGAAAAACCAAUAUCGUAGGCGGAAGGAAUUGGGAGAAAACAGAUAAAUCAUGCGAGAAAAAGCUACAGUGAUUCCUCCUGGCAAACCUGGUGAAUGUUGCUUAGAACACGCCUGAAGAAACAAAUGCAAAUCCUGUUGAGACAUUCUUUAACCGCGCGACUGGCAUGCCAUACAAAACGAAAAACUAAUACACGUACAAACAUUGUUACUGAAAGUGGCAAGAAAUUCAAUGAAUGCAACUAAGGCUGAUGAGUCAUUGCAACAACAAGUGGCAUUAACAAAAAACUAAACGACAGGAAUGCACCUGCAGUGUAAUCAAAAAAUAAAGAACAAAAAUGAAAAGGAAAUAAAAAGUGCUAAGAAAAGACAAAUUAAAAAGCAGAACCCUUGAUUAUGGAACUCUGCUUGUUCGCUGGAGUUGUGGGGUGCACCGAAAAAAAAUACAAAUAGAAAACUUAAAUUGAAAUGAAGUGAAAUGAAAGACGCGCUCAUUUGGAACGCGAUCGCUGCUGCACUCUGCGCACUGUGCAGGUAUAUCCACCAACACAAACAUAGACACAUAAUUGUCUCGAGAAUCAGUGUUAUCGUUGACUGCAUCAGCUAUUAACAGCGAACCGAAACAGCGAGUAGCAACAGACAGACAGAUAGUUCGCAGACGCACAACAACGUCAAUUCGGGAGAGUGCAAGUUCUCGUAAUUGAGUAUUGCAUAGUUGAAAUGGAAAAUGAAAACAUUUAUGUUGCACGCCAUGCAGCAUAGAAAUUCGCACAAAUGUCUGAAGUGAAAUGAAUGAAAACGUAAACGAAAAGGACAUUAAUGAAGAGAAUUCACUCAUAAUACCCUUCAUUUUAUUCACUAUAGUAAAUUUAAUUUUCCAAAUAAAUUGUUAGCUUGAUUCAUAUAAUAAAUGAAAGGAUUAUUCACAAAUCAAGUGCCCGUGUAUAUAGAAGUAUUUAUUCAUUAGUCGGCAAGUGAGCGUGACAACAGACCA